AGCGUACACGGUGGAUGCCCUGGCAGUCAGAGGCGAUGAAGGACGUGCUAAUCUGCGAUAAGCGUCGGUAAGGUGAUAUGAACCGUUAUAACCGGCGAUUUCCGAAUGGGGAAACCCAGUGUGAUUCGUCACACUAUCAUUAACUGAAUCCAUAGGUUAAUGAGGCGAACCGGGGGAACUGAAACAUCUAAGUACCCCGAGGAAAAGAAAUCAACCGAGAUUCCCCCAGUAGCGGCGAGCGAACGGGGAGCAGCCCAGAGCCUGAAUCAGUGUGUGUGUUAGUGGAAGCGUCUGGAAAGGCGCGCGAUACAGGGUGACAGCCCCGUACACAAAAAUGCACAUACUGUGAGCUCGAUGAGUAGGGCGGGACACGUGGUAUCCUGUCUGAAUAUGGGGGGACCAUCCUCCAAGGCUAAAUACUCCUGACUGACCGAUAGUGAACCAGUACCGUGAGGGAAAGGCGAAAAGAACCCCGGCGAGGGGAGUGAAAAAGAACCUGAAACCGUGUACGUACAAGCAGUGGGAGCACAGAGCAAUCUGUGUGACUGCGUACCUUUUGUAUAAUGGGUCAGCGACUUAUAUUCUGUAGCAAGGUUAACCGAAUAGGGGAGCCGAAGGGAAACCGAGUCUUAACUGGGCGUUAAGUUGCAGGGUAUAGACCCGAAACCCGGUGAUCUAGCCAUGGGCAGGUUGAAGGUUGGGUAACACUAACUGGAGGACCGAACCGACUAAUGUUGAAAAAUUAGCGGAUGACUUGUGGCUGGGGGUGAAAGGCCAAUCAAACCGGGAGAUAGCUGGUUCUCCCCGAAAGCUAUUUAGGUAGCGCCUCGUGAAUUCAUCUCCGGGGGUAGAGCACUGUUUCGGCAAGGGGGUCAUCCCGACUUACCAACCCGAUGCAAACUGCGAAUACCGGAGAAUGUUAUCACGGGAGACACACGGCGGGUGCUAACGUCCGUCGUGAAGAGGGAAACAACCCAGACCGCCAGCUAAGGUCCCAAAGUCAUGGUUAAGUGGGAAACGAUGUGGGAAGGCCCAGACAGCCAGGAUGUUGGCUUAGAAGCAGCCAUCAUUUAAAGAAAGCGUAAUAGCUCACUGGUCGAGUCGGCCUGCGCGGAAGAUGUAACGGGGCUAAACCAUGCACCGAAGCUGCGGCAGCGACGCUUAUGCGUUGUUGGGUAGGGGAGCGUUCUGUAAGCCUGUGAAGGUGUACUGUGAGGUAUGCUGGAGGUAUCAGAAGUGCGAAUGCUGACAUAAGUAACGAUAAAGCGGGUGAAAAGCCCGCUCGCCGGAAGACCAAGGGUUCCUGUCCAACGUUAAUCGGGGCAGGGUGAGUCGACCCCUAAGGCGAGGCCGAAAGGCGUAGUCGAUGGGAAACAGGUUAAUAUUCCUGUACUUGGUGUUACUGCGAAGGGGGGACGGAGAAGGCUAUGUUGGCCGGGCGACGGUUGUCCCGGUUUAAGCGUGUAGGCUGGUUUUCCAGGCAAAUCCGGAAAAUCAAGGCUGAGGCGUGAUGACGAGGCACUACGGUGCUGAAGCAACAAAUGCCCUGCUUCCAGGAAAAGCCUCUAAGCAUCAGGUAACAUCAAAUCGUACCCCAAACCGACACAGGUGGUCAGGUAGAGAAUACCAAGGCGCUUGAGAGAACUCGGGUGAAGGAACUAGGCAAAAUGGUGCCGUAACUUCGGGAGAAGGCACGCUGAUAUGUAGGUGAAGCGACUUGCUCGUGGAGCUGAAAUCAGUCGAAGAUACCAGCUGGCUGCAACUGUUUAUUAAAAACACAGCACUGUGCAAACACGAAAGUGGACGUAUACGGUGUGACGCCUGCCCGGUGCCGGAAGGUUAAUUGAUGGGGUCAGCGCAAGCGAAGCUCUUGAUCGAAGCCCCGGUAAACGGCGGCCGUAACUAUAACGGUCCUAAGGUAGCGAAAUUCCUUGUCGGGUAAGUUCCGACCUGCACGAAUGGCGUAAUGAUGGCCAGGCUGUCUCCACCCGAGACUCAGUGAAAUUGAACUCGCUGUGAAGAUGCAGUGUACCCGCGGCAAGACGGAAAGACCCCGUGAACCUUUACUAUAGCUUGACACUGAACAUUGAGCCUUGAUGUGUAGGAUAGGUGGGAGGCUUUGAAGUGUGGACGCCAGUCUGCAUGGAGCCGACCUUGAAAUACCACCCUUUAAUGUUUGAUGUUCUAACGUGGACCCGUAAUCCGGGUUGCGGACAGUGUCUGGUGGGUAGUUUGACUGGGGCGGUCUCCUCCUAAAGAGUAACGGAGGAGCACGAAGGUUGGCUAAUCCUGGUCGGACAUCAGGAGGUUAGUGCAAUGGCAUAAGCCAGCUUGACUGCGAGCGUGACGGCGCGAGCAGGUGCGAAAGCAGGUCAUAGUGAUCCGGUGGUUCUGAAUGGAAGGGCCAUCGCUCAACGGAUAAAAGGUACUCCGGGGAUAACAGGCUGAUACCGCCCAAGAGUUCAUAUCGACGGCGGUGUUUGGCACCUCGAUGUCGGCUCAUCACAUCCUGGGGCUGAAGUAGGUCCCAAGGGUAUGGCUGUUCGCCAUUUAAAGUGGUACGCGAGCUGGGUUUAGAACGUCGUGAGACAGUUCGGUCCCUAUCUGCCGUGGGCGCUGGAGAACUGAGGGGGGCUGCUCCUAGUACGAGAGGACCGGAGUGGACGCAUCACUGGUGUUCGGGUUGUCAUGCCAAUGGCACUGCCCGGUAGCUAAAUGCGGAAGAGAUAAGUGCUGAAAGCAUCUAAGCACGAAACUUGCCCCGAGAUGAGUUCUCCCUGACUCCUUGA
rnacentral:rRNA from 1 species